rnacentral:rRNA from 1 species
GAGUUUGAUCUUGGCUCAGGAUGAACGCUGGCGGCGUGCCUAAUACAUGCAAGUCGAGCGGCAGCGCGGUCUUCGGACUGGCGGCGAGCGGCGGACGGCUGAGUAACACGUAGGAACGUACCCCAACUAGAGGGAGUAACUGCUCGAAAGAGUAGCUAAUACCGCAUGUGGCCCACGGGCUAAAGCUUCGGCGGUUUGGGAACGGCCUGCGUCCGAUUAGCUAGUUGGUAAGGUAAUGGCUUACCAAGGCGACGAUCGGUAGCUGGUCUGAGAGGAUGACCAGCCAGACUGGGACUGAGAACGGCCCAGACUCCUACGGGAGGCAGCAGUAGGGAAUUUUCCACAAUGGGGGCGAACCCUGAUGGAGCAACGCCGCGUGCAGGAUGAAUGCUUUCGGGUUGUAAACUGCUUUUAUUCUGUGACGAAUAUGACGGUAGCAGAUGAAUAAGGAUCGGCUAACUCCGUGCCAGCCG